rnacentral:misc_RNA from 1 species
UACUGGCAGGAUCAACCAGAUAAUAGUAAAGAACAAGUAUCCUCUUCCCCGGAUUGACUAGCUCUUUCACCAAGUUCAGGGUGCUCAGUAUUUCUCGAAGGUGUAUUUGAGGUCAGGAUAUCAUCAGCUUUGAGUCAGAGAGCAGGAUGUGCAGAAGGAGACAUUUUGUACUCGUUACAGGCACUAUAAGUUCCUCGUCAUGUUGCUCGGGUUGACGAAUGCUUCAACAAUGUUCAUGACUUUAAUGAACAAGAUCUUCGCUCAGCACCAUGACAGCUUCACAGUGGUGUUCAUCGAUGAUGUUUUGGUCUACUGAAGUCUAGAGAAGAGUACGAGCAGAACUUGAGGACAUCUCUACAGUUGUUGCGUGACAACCAUUUGUACGUAAAGCUCAGCA